UACAGGGGGUGCAAACGUUGCUCGGAAUCAUUGGGCGUAAAGCGCACGUAGGCGGUUUGUUAUGUCGGAUGUGAAAGCCCUUGGCUCAACUGAGGAAGUGCAUCCGAAACUGGCAAGCUAGAGUACUAAAGAGGAUCGCGGAAUUCCCGGUGUAGAGGUGAAAUUCGUAGAUAUCGGGAGGAGCACCGGUGGCGAAGGCGGCGAUCUGGGUAGAUACUGACGCUGAGGUGCGAAAGCGUGGGGAGCAAACAGG
rnacentral:rRNA from 1 species